CAGAUCAGGGCCUACCUUUAUUGUACAAAGUGCUGAUUUCUGCUGCUGCUGGAUCUCUGUUGAUCGUAGCUGCAGUCUUGUGGUACUGCUUCUAACUGGAAACAUAAACAAAUAGGUCAGAAAACCGUGAUCCAUGAGAUAUAUGAAAAUGAUUCAACUCUGCCCAACCCAAAACCACGAAAAACGAAAUCAAAGGAGCCUGUGUACGGAAAUAUCGACAGAAAUAAUCAGAAAUGAUCAAAUAUAUUUUAGAGCUGAUAUGGACCCCUGACUCGUACGUUUUAGUUCACAUUUAUUCUCUGCCAGGAUGUUUUUCAUCUAUCUUUGUUUUGUUGUCGCUCUUGUGUCACAUUAAAGACUUUUUUUUUCACA